AUUUUUUGAUCUUUGAUCUUGCUUCAUUGCUCUAGUUCAUCGUUGCUGCCAGCUCAGAGUGCUUGUUAACAAAAGUCCUCACUCUUCCCCAUGUGUCUCUCCUAGGGCGACCGUGGCUCAGUGGGACCCCCAGGCCCUCCAGGAGUCAAGGGGUCGAUGGGGCACCCCGGGACACCAGGAGGAGUGGGUUUUCCUGGGAUCCCUGGACCAACAGGUCCGGCAGGAGUCCGUGGUGCACCAGGGAUAAGAGGGAUGAAAGGCCGCAGGGUAAGCACUUCCCACAAGCUUUUAUCCCUCUCCUCUUUCAGCCAUUGGAAAAGUAACUUGGUGGAUUGGUUUGGGGGUGUGAAGAUGACCAGCACAUUGGGGUAGCACCAUGUUUCUGCUGUCAUUGAAGCAAGUCUUACCAGGGAUGUAAAUGCAAGUGAUGUGUAUGAGCAGAGGGGUGUCCCAAUGUAGAGUUGAUCAUGGAAGUGGUCCAGCUUGUCUUUGCCAACCACCUGCAAUGUUAAAAGAGGGUUUA
rnacentral:lncRNA from 1 species